GACGAAGGGGGCUAGCGUUGUUCGGAAUUACUGGGCGUAAAGCGCGUGUAGGCGGUUGUCCAAGUUGGAUGUGAAAGCCUUGAGCUCAACUCAAGAAAUGCAUUCAGGACUGGAUGACUAGAGGACCGGAGAGGAUAGUGGAAUUCCCAGUGUAGUGGUGAAAUACGUAGAGAUUGGGAAGAACACCAGUGGCGAAGGCGGCUAUCUGGACGGUUUCUGACGCUAAGACGCGGAAGCGUGGGGAGCAAACAGG
rnacentral:rRNA from 1 species